UACAGAGGGUGCGAGCGUUGUUCGGAAUUAUUGGGCGUAAAGGGCGCGUAGGCGGUGCGGUAAGUCACCUGUGAAAUCUCCUGGCUCAACUGGGAGCUUGCAGGCGAAACUGCCGUGCUGGAGUGUGGGAGAGGUGCGUGGAAUUCCCGGUGUAGCGGUGAAAUGCGUAGAUAUUAGGAAGAACACCAGUGGCGAAGGCGGCUCACUGGCCCGGUACUGACGCUGAGGCGCGAAAGCGUGGGGAGCAAACAGG
rnacentral:rRNA from 1 species